GGGGUUGUAGCUCAGUGGUAGAGGGCUCAACUGGCACGUGGGGCCCUGGGUUCGAUCCUCAGCACCACA
rnacentral:tRNA from 1 species